UGUAAGGUGUAAUAGGUAGAUAGGUAGUUUAUCUAUACAAUUAAUGUCGUCAAUGACAUUCAUUAUUUUAAAAUAACAUUAGUUAAUUACAUCUAAUAAGGAAGAACAUUCAAUAAUUAUAUUGAUGCCUAUUUUCACCGUCAUUAGUGGUCAUAAUUACUGACUCAUUACAGUUAUCAAAUAUUAAAUUUAAAUAAAGAGGCCUCUAAUUGUUUUUAAGCCAAACACGAAUAUCUGCUAGCAGCGAAGUUUCGAUAAAAAAAAAUAACAACACAGUCACUUAGUUCAGUGUCGCAAAGUAGUUGCCAGUUAUGUUUGGGUCUCUACAGUCUUCUGUUGCGUUGCUUUGAAUUAUAUUUUGUUUUCACUUUACCUAUCAAAUACUAUACCAUACGCUAUGUCUUACGCGUUUCUCAUUGUUGUUUCCGUGGCUAUUACUGUGAAAUUGUUAUUUUUAACUUUUUCUAUGUAUUUCACAUUGAAACAGAGACGACGUUCAGCAACUCUGUCUGAUCAACAAACUACAAGACGAAAUAGGUCUAUGGCGAUAAAUUGGAAGCACAUACCACGGAUGCUGUUACCGAAAUCAUUAUAUUGCAGCGAUGUAAACAAUAGUAGUAAUUAUACCAAUAAAUUAUGAUUAAUAUAAACCUA